GCGUAGUGGCUUAUUUGAUCAGAGCAUGAUGCUUCCAACACCAGGGUUGUGGGUUCGAUACCCACGCCGGGCA